GACAGUCAGACACCAUAAUUAAUGAAAUAACAACCAAUAAUUUAAACAAACACCAUAAAUAAAAAGCAAACUAAAAUGAAACAGAAUCUAAAAGUAAACGCAGCCCAAUAAUAAGACGAAUAAGUAUCAAAAUUAUCAAGAACAAAAUCAAAAGCCAAAUAAGAACUGAGCAACAUUUUCCAAAAUAAUAAUAAGAAGAAAAGGGACGAGUUUUAACUUGGAAAGCUCAC
rnacentral:misc_RNA from 1 species